rnacentral:pre_miRNA from 2 species
UACGUGUCACCUACAGCCAUGCUGGUCAGGUGUCUAAGACAGCAUGGCAUAUGUGACUCGAAAAG